rnacentral:lncRNA from 1 species
UCACUUUCAUGGACCAGGCGGGGGUGGAUAAAGUGCUGGCGCAAUCGCGGCACGAGCUCGACUCCAAAACAUUGACCCUAAGGUGGCCUUCCCUCGGCGAGCACAGCCCAAAUGGUGACUCGAACGAAGAAGAUCUUUGUGGGGGGGCUGUCGGUGAACACCACGGUGGAGGACGUGAAGCAAUAUUUUGAGCAGUUUGGGAAGUGGACGACGCCAUGCUGAUGUUUGACAAAACCACCAACCGGCACCGAGGUUCGGGUUUGUCACGUUUGAGAGUGAGGACAUCGUGGAGAAAGUGUGUGAAAUUCAUUUUCAUGAAAUCAACAACAAAAUGUGGAAUGUAAGAAAGCUCAGCCAAAGGAGGUGAUGUCGCCAACGGGCUCAGCCCGGGGGAGGUCUCGAGUCAUGCCCUACGGAAUGGACGCCUUCAUGCUGGGCAUCGGCAUGCUGGUUACCCAGGUUUCCAAGCCACAACCUACGCCAGCCGGAGUUAUACAGGCCUCGCCCCUGGCUACACCUACCAGUUCCCCGG